UGGGGAAUAUUGGACAAUGGGCGCAAGCCUGAUCCAGCAAUGCCGCGUGAGUGAUGAAGGCCUUAGGGUUGUAAAGCUCUUUUACCCGGGAUGAUAAUGACAGUACCGGGAGAAUAAGCUCCGGCUAACUCCGUGCCAGCAGCCGCGGUAAUACGGAGGGAGCUAGCGUUGUUCGGAAUUACUGGGCGUAAAGCGCGCGUAGGCGGUUACUCAAGUCAGAGGUGAAAGCCCGGGGCUCAACCCCGGAACUGCCUUUGAAACUAGGUGACUAGAAUCUUGGAGAGGUCAGUGGAAUUCCGAGUGUAGAGGUGAAAUUCGUAGAUAUUCGGAAGAACACCAGUGGCGAAGGCGACUGACUGGACAAGUAUUGACGCUGAGGUGCGAAAGCGUGGGGAGCAAACA
rnacentral:rRNA from 1 species